rnacentral:rRNA from 1 species
CGACCGGCGCACGGGUGAGUAACACGUAUCCAACCUGCCGAUAACUCGGGGAUAGCCUUUCGAAAGAAAGAUUAAUACCCGAUGGCAUAAUUAGACCGCAUGGUUUGAUUAUUAAAGAAUUUCGGUUAUCGAUGGGGAUGCGUUCCAUUAGGCAGUUGGUGAGGUAACGGCUCACCAAACCUUCGAUGGAUAGGGGUUCUGAGAGGAAGGUCCCCCACAUUGGAACUGAGACACGGUCCAA